GACUCUCGGCAACGGAUAUCUCGGCUCUCGCAUCGAUGAAGAACGUAGCAAAAUGCGAUACUUGGUGUGAAUUGCAGAAUCCCGUGAACCAUCGAGUCUUUGAACGCAAGUUGCGCCCCAAGCCUUCUGGCCGAGGGCACGUCUGCCUAGGUGUCA
rnacentral:rRNA from 1 species